GAUGAACGCUGGCGGCGUGCCUAAUACAUGCAAGUCGAGCGAACGGACGAGAAGCUUGCUUUUCUGAUGUUAGCGGCGGAUGGGUGAGUAACACGUGGAUCACCUAUCUAUAAGACUGGGAUAACUUCGGGAAACCGGAGCUAAUACCGGAUACUAUUUUGAACCGCAUGGUUCAAAAGUGAAAGACGGUCUUGCUGUCACUUAUAGAUGGUUCCGCGCUGCAUUAGCUAGUUGGUAAGGUAACGGCUUACCAAGGCAACGAUGCAUAGCCGACCUGAGAGGGUGAUCGGCCACACUGAAACUGAGACACGGUCCAGACUCCUACGGGAGGGAGCAGUAGGGAAUCUUCCGCAAUGAGCGAAAGCCUGACGGAGCAACGCCGCGUGAGUGAUGAAGGUCUUCGGAUCGUAAAACUCUGUUAUUAGGGAAGAACAUAUGUGUAAGUAACUGUGCACAUCUUGACGGUACCUAAACAGAAAGCCACGGCUAACUACGUG
rnacentral:rRNA from 1 species